rnacentral:misc_RNA from 1 species
ACUAUAUCUAAUAAUUUUGAUGUUGUGAUUUGGGCUGUGGUUUCUAAAGAUUUGAAACUUGAGAAGAUUCAAGAGCAGAUUUGGAAAAAAAUUGGCUUUUUGGGUGACAAAUGGGAAAAGAAAAGCCUCCGUGAGAAAGCGGAAGACAUAUUUCAUGUACUGAGUAGAAAGAAAUUUGUAUUAUUAUUAGAUGACAUAUGGCGGCGAGUUGACCUUGAAGAGAUUGGGGUUCCUCUACCUACUAGACAAAACAGAUGCAAGAUAGUAUUCACAACAUGCUCCCAUAGGAUAGGUAGGCAAAUGGAAGCUGAAAAGAUGAUAAAAGUGAAACCUUUGGAUUGGGAAGAAGCUUGGGCAUUGUUUCAGAAGAAGGUUGGGGAUAUUGAUUUUGAUAUUGUUCCUCUGGCUCAAGAUGUUGCUAAAGAGUGUAGUGGGUUGCCAAUCGCACUCAUUACCACUGGUUGAGCCAUGGCCGGUAGAAUUACAAAUGAAGAAUGGCAGCAUGCUCUUGAGGUACUUAGAAGCCCUGCCUCAAGCUUACCAGGCAUGGAGGACGAGGUAUUUCAAGAAAUGGAGGUUGAAGUAUUUUCAUUAUUGAAGUUUAGUUAUGAUAGUCUGCGUAGUGAUAAAGUUAAAUCUUGUUUCUUAUAUUGUUCCUUAUUUCUGGAAGACUUUGAAAUUCACAAACGUGAAUUGGUAGAUUAUUGGAUUUGUGAGAAUUUUGGUGAUUGCAAUGAGUCAUAUUCUAUAAUCGGUUCACUUGUUGGGGCAUGUUUAUUGGAAGAGAAAGGCCGACAUGUGAAAAUGCAUGAUGUGAUUCGUGACAUGGCUCUGUGGAUAGCAUGUAAAUAUGAAAAAGAAAAGCACAAGUUUUUUGUGGAAGCGGGUGCCCAAUUAACUCAAGUACCAGAGGUUGGAAAAUGGGAAGUAUCAAAGCGGAUGUCCUUGAUGGCAAACUCCUUCGAGAGAAUCCAUGAAGUUCCUAGAUGUCCUGAUCUUUUGACUUUAUUUCUCAGCGAUAAUCGUCUUUUAAGGGAGAUCGGUGAUGGUUUCUUUCAAUUUAUGGAUACACUAAAUGUUCUGGACCUCUCAGGCACUUGUAUAAGGGAAUUGCCGAUGGGAAUAUCAAAAUUGAACUCAUUGCAAUAUCUUAAUCUGUCAAGGACGCUGAUAAGGCAAUUGCCAGUUGAGUUGAAAAUGUUGAUAAAUCUGAAAUAUCUGAACUUGAAGAGUACUUCCGAGCUAUGUAGGAUUCCAAGGGGAGUCAUAUCUAGUUUAUCAUCAUUGCAAGUUUUGAAAAUGUACAACGUUGGUUUUCUUUGGGUCGAAGAAUUGGAAGAUAAUAUAUUGAGGGAAGAUAAUAUGCUAAUAGAGGAGCUACAAUGUUUGGAACACUUGAAUGUAUUAAGCAGCACAAUAACAAGUGUCUCAGGUCUCCAGAGUUAUGUCAACACCCUCACAUUACUCAACUGUACUCGAGCUCUAAGGCUUGAAUUGUUUCCAGGUCCACAAUCUCUCAACAUUUGGUGGUUAACAAAUAUGAAGAAUCUAGGACUUAUAUAUAUGGUUGGUCGAAGUCAUUUAGGAGAGCCGGAUGUUGAUGUUGUAAUGGAAGAGAUAGAAACACAUGAUGAUGCAGGUGGAGGUCUAGGCAACUCAAUGAUCUCAAGGGAGACAUGCUUUAACAGCCUUAAUACAUUGAAUUUAAGGGGAAGCCUCAGAUUGAAGGAUCUGACAUGGAUUAUUCUAGCUCCAAAUUUGACGUACUUGUAUGUGGGCCAGAACAAGCAUAUAGAAGAGAUAAUAAGUGUUGAAAAGUUAGAUGAUGUUCAAGUUGGGGAUGAAAAUUUUAACCCAUUUUUAAAACUCCAAUAUCUUACAUUGGUUGAUUUACCAGAACUGAAAAGCAUAUAUCCCAAAGCCUUGUCCUUUCCCUCUCUAAAAAGAAUCGAUGUAUAUGAAUGCCCACAGCUUAAGAAGCUGCCAUUAAACUCGAGCAGCGCAAAUGGAGGCAAAGUUGAGAUUAAAGCAGAGGAACAAUGGUGGAAAGAUGUUGAAUGGGAGGAUGAUUCUACUAAAACUACCUUUCUACCGUGCUUUGUGCCUUCUCGCCGUCGGUAUUGAUUUUCACAUUUGCUUGGUUUCCAUAGGUGGCAGAGGAUGAGCUGGCAAACUAUGGAGUGGUGUGUUAUGGCCUAAUGCUGCAUUUAGCUUUGGAUGCUGUGUUGGUGAAGUUAUUUUGUUGACUUUGCUGCUUGUGAAUUCUAGAGCAUCAGGACUGCGAUUCUUGCACCUUUUCUAUCACUGACAAUCAAGGGAAAAUAGGGGAAGCAAUGCGAAUGAGGCAAUAAAAGCUACUGGGGAGAAUUCUCCAUCGAUUUGCUGUGAAGCUACUAUCCCAACCGAAGGGCAUAUGCUUAUCUCAUUCCCAACUGACAAACUAGGAGAAUCACUGCAGGUAUACACAUCUUCAAUAAAUAACUUGGUGUAUAUGUUGUAGAAUAUAUUUGACAUUUUCGUAAAAGGAAACUACUAUACCAACAGAAGGGCCAGCGCUGCUUAAUCCCAGUGCCAUAUUUUUGCCUUGUGAAUUUUGCUACUGUUAAUGACGUUUAUUUGUUUGAUAUUUUGCCCCUUUUUGUCUGGCGUUUCAUCUGUUAAAUUGCUAUUGUUGACAUGGAUUACAUUUUACUAAUAAUGUUCCUUAGAAGUUACCUCAAGCUUGUUGUAUUGUAAUUGUGAUGUUCUCUCUUAAUUUCCGGAGUUUUAACUUUAAGCUUACAAUGCUUAGCAAUAAUCUUUCUUUAUCUCUUUCUUUGGUGAAUUUGAUUUUGACCCAUCGUAUUUACUGACCCAUGGUUCGGCAAUCUUUGUGGGAAAAUUGAACCCCGAUGCAAGUAGAAGUGAAGAAUGAAUAUGAGGCAUAGAGAACCACCAAAAUUCCCUUGCAUAGAGACAGAGCUAGAAAGAAUCAGCAGCUUACCAGGUCAUAUUUUGGACCAAAUUUUAUCGCAGCUGUCAAUUAGAGAUGCAGUGAGAACAAGUGCUUUGUCAAGGAAAUGGAGGUAUAAAUGGGCUAAAAUUCCCCAUCUUGUGUUUGAUAAUAAUUGUGUCCCAAAUCCAUCUCAAGAUCAAACUCUCAUAAAAAACAAGCUUGUCAACAUUGUUGAUCAUGUUCUCUUACUUCAUACUGGCCCAAUACACAAGUUCAAACUUUCUCACCGAGAUCUUCUAGGUGUUAGUGAUAUUGAUCGAUGGAUUCUUCAUUUAUCAAGAAGCUCUAUUAAAGAAUUCAUACUUGAAAUAUGGAAGGGACAGCGCUACAAAGUACCAUCUUCUUUAUUCUCAUUUGAACAUCUGAUACAUUUGGAGCUAUUCAAUUGUUUGCUAAAACCUCCUUUAUCAUUCAAAGGGUUCCGGAAUUUGAAGAGCCUUGACCUUCAGCACAUUACCCUGACUCAGCAAGUGUUUGAAAAUCUAAUUCUUAGCUGCCCUCUGCUCGAGAGGUUGACAUUGAUGAAUUUUGAUGGUUUCACUCACCUUAACAUCAAUGCUCCAAACCUUCAAUUUUUUGACAUUGGAGGGGUUUAUGACGAUGUCAAUUUUGAGAAUACCUUUCAGUUAACUCUCAUCUCAAUUGGCUUGUAUGUAAAUGUAAAAAAUGACCGAAAUGUGGUUCAUGGGAACUCUAGUAAAUUGCUCAGGUUCUUUGCUAAUCUACCUCAUAUUCGAAGGCUCGAGGUUCAGAGUUUCUUUUUGAAGUAUUUGUCUAUUGGCAACAUUCCUAGCAGAUUGCCAAGACCAUGCAUUGAUCUGAAUUACCUUUCUAUACGCAUAAAUUUCAAUGAUAUGGAGGAAAAUUCAGCUGCCUUGUGUCUUUUAAGAAGUUCUCCUAAUGUGCAAGAACUGGAGAUGCUGGCACGCCCAGAGGAACAAACUUCUAUGGGAACAUUAUCUAACUUUUGGGAGGAUGACCAUUGGAACAGUCUCUUUGGCCAACUACUACUUGUGAAAAUUGUUGGCAUUUCUGGUGUCAAAUCUGAACUUGAUUUCAUUAACUUUCUGCUCUCAAACUCACCUGUUCUUGAGAGAAUGACUGUUAAGCCAGCUUCCAAUGAUGGAGGAUGGGAGUUGCUAAAAGAAUUGCUGCGAUUCCGUCGGGCUUCAGUGAGAGCAGAAAUCAUUUAUCUUGACCCGUAACUAUGAUCUGUUUGCCUUGGCAAUCAUUGAAAAAUGCUUAACAUGUAAAAAGUAAUCAAACUUCUUGAGUAUAUGCAUAUGUUGCUUCCGAAAAUUUGCCAUCUGUAGUUGAUAAUGUGGAAACAUGAGAUUAAAAAAAUGAUCUUUUAUAAUGAACAAGCUGUGAUGAUCCUUAUUAGUAUUAGCUGAAUAAAAUUUUCUAAGAUACAGAGUUCAGCUUUUGUAUUU